UGGCUGAGACGGUAAAGCAUCUGCCUACAAUGCAGGAGACCCGGGUUUGAUCCCCAG
rnacentral:tRNA from 1 species